UACGUAGGGGGCAAGCGUUGUCCGGAAUUAUUGGGCGUAAAGGGUGCGUAGGCGGCCUUUUAAGUCAGAUGUGAAAGCCCACGGCUUAACCGUGGGAUUGCAUUUGAAACUGGAGGGCUUGAGUAUCGGAGAGGGUAGUGGAAUUCCCAGUGUAGCGGUGAAAUGCGUAGAUAUUGGGAGGAACACCAGUGGCGAAGGCGACUACCUGGACGAAAACUGACGCUGAUGCACGAAAGCUAGGGGAGCAAACAGGAUUAGAUACCCUGGUAGUCCUAGCCGUAAACGAUGGGUACUAGGUGUAGGGGGUUUCGAUACCCUCUGUGCCGGAGUUAACGCAUUAAGUACCCCGCCUGGGGAGUACGUGCGCAAGCAUGAA
rnacentral:rRNA from 1 species